CAGCCGCCACGGUAAUACAGAGGAUGCAAGCGUUAUCCGGAAUGAUUGGGCGUAAAGCGUCUGUAGGUGGCUUUUCAAGUCCGCCGUCAAAUCCCAGGGCUCAACCCUGGACAGGCGGUGGAAACUACCAAGCUGGAGUACGGUAGGGGCAGAGGGAAUUUCCGGUGGAGCGGUGAAAUGCGUAGAUAUCGGAAGGAACACCUGUGGCGAAAGCGGCUCACUGGACCAUAACUGACGCUGAGGCACGAAAGCUAGGGGAGCAAACAGGAUUAGAUACCCCUGUAGUCCCUGUCUCUUAUAC
rnacentral:rRNA from 1 species